rnacentral:rRNA from 1 species
CCUACGGGCGGCAGCAGUCGAGAAUCAUUCACAAUGGGGGAAACUCUGAUGGUGCGACGCCGCGUGGGGGAAUGAAGGUCUUCGGAUUGUAAACCCCUGUCAUGUGGGAGCAAAUUAAAAAGAUAGUACCACAAGAGGAAGAGACGGCUAACUCUGUGCCAGCAGCCGCGGUAAUACAGAGGUCUCAAGCGUUGUUCGGAAUCACUGGGCGUAAAGCGUGCGUAGGCUGUUUCGUAAGUCGUGUGUGAAAGGCGCGGGCUCAACCCGCGGACGGCACAUGAUACUGCGAGACGAGAGUAGAGGAGGGGGAACCGGAAUUCUCGGUGUAGCAGUGAAAUGCGUAGAUAUCGGGAGGAACACUCGUGGCGAAGGCGGGUUCCUGGACAUUAACUGACGCUGAGGCACGAAGGCCAGGGGAGCGAAAGGGAUUAGAUACCCGAGUAGUC